ACACACACACACACACACACACACACACACACACACACACACACACAUCUUUGCACCGGGACAGAGUAGUUGUAGUAGUAGUAGUAGUAAUAAUAAUAAUAAUAAUAAUAAUAAUAAUAAUAAUAAUAAUAAUAAUAAUAAUAAUAAUAAUAAUAAUAAUAAUAAUAAUAAUAAUAAUAAUAAUAAUAAUAAUAAUAAUAAUAAUAAAGAGGAUUGGGAAAGGAAGGGAAAGAGGAAGAAGAGGAGGAGGAGGAACGAAGGAAAAAGAGAAGGAAGAGGAAGAAGAGGAGGAGGAAAGGACAGGAGAGAAAACGAAAGAAAGAAAAGAAAAAAGAAAAAUAAAGAAAAAUUGAAGAAAUAAAACAAUUACUCAGGAAAGGAGGAAAAGGAAGAGGAGGAGGAAAGGAGAGGAAGACAAAGAAGAGAGGAAGUAAAAUAAGAAAAAAAAAUAAAAAAACAAUUACUUAUAUUAAUUACCUCAUCAUCAUUAUCAAGGGAAUCAUCAUCAUCGUCAGCUCACGGUAUCAAUUUAUUAUUAUCAUCAUCAUCAUCAUCAUUAUUAUCAUUAUUAUUAUUUAUUAUUAUUAUUAUUAUACAAAAAACACGGCUUUACACACGAACACACACACGCACACACUAACACACACACUCUCUUUCUCUCUCUCACACACUCACCGGUAACGUGUAUGUCUGUAUGUACGUUAUGUAUGUAUGUAUGUAUGUAUGUAUGUAUGUAGACGUACAGAAACGCACACAACUUCAAAAACUUACAUAUGUACACACGCGUUUGUCUGUUUCUAACCGACAACCAACACUGAGGGGGGAGGAGGAGGGAAGAGGAGGAGGAGGAGGAGGAGGAGGAGGAGGAGGAGGAGGAGGAGGAGGAGGAGGAGGAGGAGGGUGAAUUAUGCCAAAGAAGAUUAUAUAUACAACGGCUUGGGGAGGAGGAGGAGGAGGAGGAGGAAAUGAAAAAGAAGAUGAAAAUGAAGGUAAGGUAAGGUAAGAUAAGGUAAGGUAAGGUAAGGUAAGGUAAGGUUAGGUAAGGUAAGGUAAGGUACGGUUAAGUUAGGUAAGGUAAGGUAAGGUUAAAUAAGGUAAGAUUAGGUAAGGUAAGGUAAGGUUUGGUAAGGUAAGGUAAGGUUAGGCAAGAUUAAGGAAGGGAAAGGAAGGUAAGGUAAGGCAAGGUAAGGUUGGGUAUAAGAUUAAGGAAGGGAAAGGAAGGUAAGGUAAG